AUUGAACGCUGGCGGCAUGCUUUACACAUGCAAGUCGAACGGUAACAGGUUAAGCUGACGAGUGGCGAACGGGUGAGUAAUGCAUCGGAACGUGCCCGGUCGUGGGGGAUAACGCAGCGAAAGCUGCGCUAAUACCGCAUACGAUCUGAGGAUGAAAGCGGGGGACCGUAAGGCCUCGCGCGAUCGGAGCGGCCGAUGUCAGAUUAGGUAGUUGGUGGGGUAAAGGCUCACCAAGCCGACGAUCUGUAGAUGGUCUGAGAGGACGACCCGCCACACUGGGACUGAGACACGGCCCAGACUCCUACGGGAGGCAGCAGUGGGGAAUGUUGGACAAGGGGCGCAAGCCUGAUCCAGCAAUGCCGCGUGCAGGAAGAAGGCCUUCGGGUUGUAAACUGCUUUUGUACGGAGCGAAAGGGCUCUCUCUAAUACAGGGGGCUCAUGACGGUACCGUAAGAAUAAGCACCGGCUAACUACGUGCCAGCCGCCGCGGUAA
rnacentral:rRNA from 1 species